rnacentral:pre_miRNA from 1 species
UCACCUCUGCAGGCUGACCCCCAGACUGGGCGGGGUGAGUAUCUCUUUAAAAGGCUCAGCCUCAAGCAUGACUAGGAGC